AGAGUUUGGUUGUAGCUGGUCCCUAAUUAACUUGGGGGCAUGUGCACACCUUUCUCUUUCAUCCCAUACACACCUGUGCACCUGUGAGACAGAUGAGCUUCGAUAUAGAUGUCGCUCGAUGUGGACCUACUCUCUUUGGACUUCUGUCUACUUAAUCUAUAUAAACUCAAUUUAUUUUAAAAUGAAUGUAAUGGAUGUAACACAUCUAAUACUAAGUUUCAACAACGGAUCUCUUGGCUCUCGCAUCGAUGAAGAACGCAGCGAAAUGCGAUAAGUAAUGUGAAUUGCAGAAUUCAGUGAAUAGCUCGUAGAGUGCUCGUAGAUGUCGCUCCUUGGUAUUCCUUGGAGCAUGCCUGUUUGAGUAUCAUGAAAUCUUCAAAGUCAAACCUUUUGUUAACUCAAUUGGUUCUGCUUUGGUAUUGGAGGUCUAGCGCAGCUUCACACCUGCUCCUCUUUGUGCAUAUCGCGGAUCUCAGUGUUAUGCUUGGUUCCACUCAGCGUGAUAAGUUAUCUAAGCUUGAGGACACCCUGUUAAAAAGGGGUGGCCAAGGUAAAUGCAGAUGAACUGCUUCUAACAGUCCAUUGACUUGGAAUGAUCGCUCGUGAUAGAUCUGAUCUCAAAUCAGGUAGGACUACCCGCUGAACU
rnacentral:rRNA from 1 species